rnacentral:rRNA from 1 species
AACGAACGCUGGCGGCAGGCCUAACACAUGCAAGUCGAGCGCGCCCUUCGGGGUGAGCGGCGGACGGGUGAGUAACGCGUGGGAACGUGCCCUUCUCUGCGGAAUAGCCUCGGGAAACUGAGAGUAAUACCGCAUACGCCCUUUGGGGGAAAGAUUUAUCGGAGAAGGAUCGGCCCGCGUUGGAUUAGGUAGUUGGUGGGGUAAUGGCCCACCAAGCCGACGAUCCAUAGCUGGUUUGAGAGGAUGAUCAGCCACACUGGGACUGAGACACGGCCCAGACUCCUACGGGAGGCAGCAGUGGGGAAUCUUAGACAAUGGGGGCAACCCUGAUCUAGCCAUGCCGCGUGAGUGAUGAAGGCCUUAGGGUUGUAAAGCUCUUUCAGCUGGGAAGAUAAUGACGGUACCAGCAGGAGAAGCCCCGGCUAACUCCGUG